ACUCCUACGGGAGGCAGCAGUGGGAAUAUUGCACAAUGGGCGCAAGCCUGAUGCAGCCAUGCCGCGUGUAUGAAGAAGGCCUUCGGGUUGUAAAGUACUUUCAGUCAGUGAGGAAGGUGGUAUGUUAAUAGCAUACUCAUUGACUGUUAGCUGCAGAAGAAGCACCGCUAACUCCGUGCCAGCAGCCGCGGUAAUACGGAGGGUGCGAGCGUUAAUCGGAAUUACUGGGCGUAAAGCGCAUGCAGGUGGUUUGUUAAGUCAGAUGUGAAAGCCCGGGGCUCAACCUCGGAAUUGCAUUUGAAACUGGC
rnacentral:rRNA from 1 species